rnacentral:rRNA from 1 species
ACGAACGCUGGCGGCAGGCCUAACACAUGCAAGUCGAGCGCUACCUUCGGGUGGAGCGGCGGACGGGUUAGUAACGCGUGGGAACAUACCCUUUUCUACGGAAUAGCCUCGGGAAACUGAGAGUAAUACCGUAUAAGCCCUUCGGGGGAAAGAUUUAUCGGGAAAGGAUUGGCCCGCGUUAGAUUAGAUAGUUGGUGGGGUAAUGGCCUACCAAGUCUACGAUCUAUAGCUGGUUUUAGAGGAUGAUCAGCAACACUGGGACUGAGACACGGCCCAGACUCCUACGGGAGGCAGCAGUGGGGAAUCUUAGACAAUGGGCGAAAGCCUGAUCUAGCCAUGCCGCGUGAGUGAUGAAGGUCUUAGGAUCGUAAAGCUCUUUCGCUAGGGAUGAUAAUGACAGUACCUAGUAAAGAAGCCCCGGCUAACUCCGUGCCAGCAGCCGCGGUAAUACGGAGGGGGCUAGCGUUGUUCGGAAUUACUGGGCGUAAAGCGUACGUAGGCGGAUCAGAAAGUAUGGGGUGAAAUCCCAGGGCUUAACCCUGGAACUGCCUCAUAAACUCCUGGUCUUGAGUUCGAGAGAGGUGAGUGGAAUUGCGAGUGUAGAGGUGAAAUUCGUAGAUAUUCGCAGGAACACCAGUGGCGAAGGCGGCUCACUGGCUCGAUACUGA